AACGAACGCUGGCGGCGUGCUUAACACAUGCAAGUCGAACGCGAAAGGGACUUCGGUCCUGAGUAAAGUGGCGCACGGGUGAGUAACGCGUAGAUAACCUGUCUUCAUGUCUGGAAUAAUACACCGAAAGGGGUACUAAUACCGGAUAUUCUUGCUUUUCAUAAGUUAUGCAAGCAAAGGUGGCCUCUGCAUAUGCUACUGCAUGAAGAGGGGUCUGCGUACCAUUAGCUAGUAGGUGGGGUAAUGGCCUACCUAGGCGACGAUGGUUAGCGGGUCUGAGAGGAUGAUCCGCCACACUGGCACUGGAACACGGGCCAGACUCCUACGGGAGGCAGCAGUGAGGAAUAUUGCGCAAUGGGGGAAACCCUGACGCAGCGACGCCGCGUGAGUGAGGAAGGCCCUCGGGUCGUAAAGCUCUGUCAAGAGGAAAGAAGUGUACAAUGGCUAAUACCUGUUGUAUUUGACGGUACCUCUAAAGGAAGCACCGGCUAACUCCGUGCCAGCCGCCGC
rnacentral:rRNA from 1 species